rnacentral:rRNA from 1 species
GAUGAAUGCUGGCGGCGUGCCUAACACAUGCAAGUCGAGCGGCAGCGCGGGGUGCUUGCACCCUGUCGGCGAGCGGCGAACGGCUGAGUAACGCGUAGGAAUUUGCCCCAAAGUGAGGAAUAACUGCCUGAAAGGGUAGCUAAUGCCGCAUAUGGUCUUCGGAUUAAAGGAUUUAUCCGCUUUGGGAGAAGCCUGCGUUGGAUUAGGUUGUUGGUAGGGUAAUGGCCUACCAAGCCGACGAUCCAUAGCUGGUCUGAGAGGAUGAUCAGCCAGACUGGAACUGAGACACGGUCCAGACUCCUACGGGAGGCAGCAGUGAGGAAUCUUCCACAAUGGGCGAAAGCCUGAUGGAGCAACGCCGCGUGAAGGAUGAAGGCCUUCGGGUUGUAAACUUCUUUUAUGAGUGAAGAAUAUGACGGUAACUCAUGAAUAAGCACCGGCUAACUACGUG